ensembl:lncRNA
CGGCUGGCCAAUGGCAAGUAUCGGAAGAGUGAAAGUAUAAAUGUGAAAGAAAGGAAAAAGAUUAAACAACACUUACCUGUUUGCGACACCCUUAUCACCUAUAUGAAGGAUCUCACUAUUCUAUCUUGUGGAAGAAACUACAGACAUUUCCACAAACUGUAAGAGAGGAACAGCCUUAAGACAGAAUUCCUACGGCUUUGAAGAUGCAACUAAAAACCUUUUUUAAAGCAGCAAUUAAGCUGAUUUCCAAGAAAAAUGCCAUCACCUCUGUUCCAUUGAGCUUUAUGUUGUUGGGUUUGCAGGCGUUGCUUGAUGUCCAGUUCUCAUGCCCAUGCAAAGUUAAGUGGAAUGCACUUAUAUCAGGUUUCCUCUUCAUUGUACCCAGUCUCUUUGCUUUCGUCAUAAUGUUCAUGCUUUUGAGGCCUUGUAAAUAUAAAUGCAGCCAUUCUCAAAGAAAGAACAGUGGUGGAAGAACGCAAGGUCAGGACAACAAUGAAGCCUCGCAGGAAGAAGACAAAAGUGGACAAUCUCAAGAACAGAACAAAAGUGCAAUAUAUCAGUCUGAAGAAACGAGGCAGAGUUUUGAGACCGUUUUGAUGGCUUGUCUGAUUCCACCGAUUGUGUGGAUCUGUAUAUUUCUAAUUGAUGGUGAUUAUGUUGCAUGUGGAUUCACAGACUGGAAUGGACGGUAUGCCUGUGAUAAGGACCUGCAUCCGAUUUGUUUGAACUGGUGCAAACCUACUGAAUUAAACCAAGGAGGAAAUGAGACCGAACUAUAUGAACAAACACGAGAGUUGAUUGAUCAAUCAAAGUGUAUAGGUUAUAGCCUGGCAUUUGUCUUCUGCAUUAUAGCAAUUAUUAUUGUGACUGCUAACGACUGCAACAAAGGUCGCAAUUCAGCCUGCUGCAGAAGUGCAGAUCCAGAAAAUAAAGUUGAGGAACGGACUGAUCUGUUGGCAGACUUAUGCAAGAAACAAAGUGUGCAACAUGAGAUGGGCAAGCUUCAAGAUGACGCCUCGCGACACAGACAUCCAAGUCAAGUUCUAGAAAUAGAAGAAAAAGUUUAAUAGAUCAAUUCCAGAUCAUAUGCUGUGUUUACAUUCUAUAUAUAUUCUAUUUCCGAAAGUGCACGUAUUUUCUCAUUUACAUUUCAUUUGUUUUAUUCUGCUAUUAGUAAUUGGAUUUGCUUCAAAUUAAAUGUAAUGUUUAUGACUUAAUGCAAUAUCAUUAGUAUUGUAGUAAUGUUUUAUUCUGUAAGUUUACAUAACGUGCCUUUGAAUUACAGUGUAAAGACACAGCUUUCUUUAAAAGCAACAAAUCACACCGAAAUACUACAAUCCACAAUAGUACAUUUUCAAAGAUUUCCAGGUAUUAUGCAUGCAUCUCUUCCUUGUAUGUGUUGUGUGAUACUAGAAUGUGUGUGUUUCUAGAAUAACUUUAUUAUCUUGUUUGUAUCAUUCCAUACUGAGCAGGAAAUCAUCCAGUCAUGUUUGACUGGUUUGUGGCUUAACUUAGUUGAUGAAUCAAAGUACAGAUCCUGUCUUUAGCUGUUAUAGGUGUGAUUUGCAAGUUAAUAAAGUAAGGGAAUUGUUAUGGAUGUGUUGAUGUUGUCC